rnacentral:rRNA from 1 species
GACGAACGCUGGCGGCGUGCUUAACACAUGCAAGUCGAACGGAAAGGCCCUGCUUUUGCGGGGUGCUCGAGUGCCGAACGGGUGAGUAACACGUGAGUAACCUGCCCCUGACUUUGUGAUAACUUCACGAAACUGGGGCUAAUACUGGAUAGGAGCUCUUGCUGCAUGGUGGGGGUUGGAAAGUUUCGGCGGUUGUGGAUGGAUUCGCGGCUUAUCAGCUUGAUAGUGGGGUAGUGGCUUCCGAAGGCUUUGAGGGGUAGCCGGCCUUGGAGGGUGGCCGGGCUCAUUAGUACUGCGGUAGGCCGCAGUAGCGAACGGGCGGCAGUGGUCGGGAAUAUUGCGGAGUGGGGGGAAGCGUGUGAUGGCAACGCCCGGUGCGGAAUGACGUCCUUCGGGUUGUGAACCGAUUUCGAAGGUAACGAGGCGUGAGUGACGGUAAUGAGUAAAGAAGCAACGGCUAACUACGUG